CACAACCGUACAAUAAGACCGGUUUCACUAACUUGUCAAAUAAAUCUAAUAGACAACUAAUAGAUAACCCAUGUUUUCUCACCUUUUUGAUUAGCUCAUACAUUGCCUUUGUAGCUUUUUCUGCUAAGUGUUUUCUACAGUGUUUAAAUGUCCCAUUUCGUGAAAAAUAAAUCCCAAGAUAGUUGAAUUCUUGAACGAUAUCUUUAACAGAGUUAUCAUAUGUAAAACUGAGAUUUUUGG
rnacentral:lncRNA from 1 species